rnacentral:rRNA from 1 species
CUACGGGUGGCACCAGUGAGGAAUAUUGCACAAUGGGGGGAACCCUGAUGCAGCAACGCCGCGUGGAGGAUGACGCAUUUCGGUGUGUAAACUCCUUUUAUAUGUCAAGAAAAUGACGGUAGCAUAUGAAUAAGCACCGGCUAACUCCGUGCCAGCAGCCGCGGUAAUACGGACGGGUGCAAGCGUUACUCGGAAUCACUGGGCGUAAAGGACGCGUAGGCGGGUUGGAAAGUCAGGUGUGAAAUCCUACAGCUUAACUGUAGAACUGCACUUGAAACUUCUAAUCUAGAGUAUGGGAGGGGGAGAUGGAAUUAGUGGUGUAGGGGUAAAAUCCGUAGAUAUCACUAGGAAUACCUAAAGCGAAGGCGAUCUCCUGGAACAUUACUGACGCUAAGGCGUGAAAGCGUGGGGAGCAAACAGGAUUAGAUACCCGGGUAGUC